UUUCUAUUUGUCUCUCUAGCAAUACUUUUCUCCCUUCUCAGUGUUGACCAAGUAUAACUUGUCCGCUACUUUGGUGCUAGUUCAAGCUUUCUGACCCGUUUGGUAGCAGCUGAUGCCUUAGAACUACUUUCACCAACUAAGGGGCAAAAUACCCUCCUUUCUUGAGGUCACCAUUUGGGCUUCAUACCCAGAUCUUCCAAAUGCUUGAGUUGCUCCUCAAAUUUUGUUUCCCAAAGAGCAAUCCAAAAUGUUGUUUAAGG
rnacentral:lncRNA from 1 species